rnacentral:misc_RNA from 1 species
UGGAGGAUCACCAAUGGAGGAUUCACACUACCAUCUGCAAUGUUUUCUUCCUCUUUGUGAUACAUUCGAGAAGAAUAGCGUUUCUAAGGAUGCUAUUCAACUAAAAGCAUUCUCAUUCUUUCUUAGGGACAAAGAAAGAAAGUGGCUGUUAUCUCAACCGACAGAAUCAUUCACCAAGCCGCCUUGUCACAAACCUUUUUAACUAGAUACUUUCCACCUGAAAAAACAGCUAAGCUUAGAGCUAAACUUAAUGCUUUUAGACAGAAAGACAAUAAAUGUCUCUAUGACACAUGA